UACGUAGGGAGCAAGCGUUGUCCGGAAUCAUUGGGCGUAAAGCGCGCGUAGGCGGCUUGGUAAGUCUGCUCUGAAAGCCCGGGGCUCAACCCCGGGAGGCGGGUGGAUACUGCUGAGCUCGAGUCCGGAAGAGGCGAGUGGAAUUCCUGGUGUAGCGGUGAAAUGCGCAGAUAUCAGGAGGAACACCAAUGGCGAAGGCAGCUCGCUGGGACGGUACUGACGCUGAGACGCGAAAGCGUGGGGAGCAAACAGG
rnacentral:rRNA from 1 species